AACGAACGCUGGCGGCGUGGUUUAGGCAUGCAAGUCGAGCGAGAAAGUCCUUCGGGACGAGUACAGCGGCGAAAGGGUGAGUAAUAUAUAGGUAACCUACCUCUUGGACUCGGAUAAUUCCUGGAAACGGGUUGUAAUACGAGAUCGUCCUAUUGGGUCGCAUGGCCCGACUGGUAAAUGGUAGCUCUGCUUCUGCCGAGAGAGGGGCCUAUAUCCUAUUAGCUAGUUGGUGAGGUAAUGGCUCCCCAACGGCUUUGAUGGGUAGCCGGACUGAGAGGUUGGCCGGUCACACUGGGACUGAGACACUGCCCAGACUCCUACGGGAGGCUGCAGUCGAGAAUCUUCCGCAAUGGGCGAAAGCCUGACGGGGCGACGCCGCGUGAACGAAGAAGGCCUCGGUUGUAAGUUAC
rnacentral:rRNA from 1 species